UACAGGGGGUGCAAACGUUGCUCGGAAUUAUUGGGCGUAAAGCGCGCGUAGGCGGCUACUUAAGUCGGAUGUGAAAGCCCUUGGCUCAACUGAGGAAGUGCACCCGAAACUGAGUGGCUUGAGUACUAAAGAGGGUCGCGGAAUUCCCGGUGUAGAGGUGAAAUUCGUAGAUAUCGGGAGGAACACCGGUGGCGAAGGCAGCUCGCUAACCGAUCAUUGACGCUGAGGCACGAAAGCGUGGGGAUCAAACAGG
rnacentral:rRNA from 1 species